rnacentral:lncRNA from 1 species
AGCCCACGGUCACUUCCAAUCAGAGGGGCAGGUUGCAGGGCCUGGGAAAGGGAGCUUUGUUCAUAGAUUACUGCGCCUAGAGAGAAAAUGAAGAAACCCCUCUUUCUCAAGAGCCUUUUUUAUUUUUUUAUUUUUAUUUUUGAUACGGAGUCUCACUCUGUCGCCCAGGCUGGAGUGCAGUGGCGCGAUCUCGGCUCACUGCAAGCUCCGCCUCCCAGGUUCAGGCCAUUCUCCUGCCUCAGCCUCCCUAGCAGCUGGGACUACAGGCGCCCGCCACCACGCCCGGCUAAUUUUUUGUAUUUUUUACUAGAGACGGGGUUUCACCGUGUUAGCCAGGAUGGUUUCGAUCUCCUGACCUCGUGAUCCGCCCGCCUCGGCCUCCAAAAGUGCU